UCUUCCUCGUUACUGUGCCCGUGCCCGAGCCCUCAUUCUCUCCUCUCUUCUUCUCCCUUUCGCCGAGCCGAAUUUGCCCUAACCGCCGGCCAUCUGGCGGUUCUCCUUCUCCUCCUCUCCUCUGCCGCCCCAGCCGACGCCGAGCGUCGGCCACAAGGGCUCUCUGUGCCCUAGCGUCGGCCGCCGCCGCCGCAUCUUGCCCUACUCGCCGGCGCCUCUCCUCACUGCCGCCCGACGCCUUUCCCUUCCAUGCCCUAGCGCCGGUGCCGCCACCACAGUCGACGCCGAGGAUUUCUUCUCUUCUCCUCUCCCUGCUUUAAUCGGCGCCGCAACAUCCGCCGCCGAGGCCUUAAUUCCUCUGCUGCCGAAGCCCUAGCCUUUGCACAGUGCCACUGCCGCGGCAUCUUCUGCCGUAGUUUCCGGCCGAUUUCCCCACUCACUGGAGUAGGCUACGGUUUCCAAUCAGUGACACUCUUCACCAGAGAGUAACCUGCCAAUGUGGUUAGGAGUAUUUGAGUGGAGAUUUUGACCCCCACCUUGCUGCAAUCACUGGAUCCGGCAGUAACUUCAGCCACAAACCUUGAUCCAGCAGUAUUAGGCGACCCUUUGAUUUACAGCAGCAAUUAAUCUUUGCUAGCAGUAGAGUUUUGUUUUCCGGCAGCAGCUUGGUCUAGCAGCGGUUGAUUUGAGGACUUUGACGCGAGACGAGUAUCUCGGAGUCAGAUCGGACCUUUCUAU